GAUGAACGCUGGCGGCGUGCCUAAUACAUGCAAGUCGAGCGAACGGACGAGAAGCUUGCUUCUCUGAUGUUAGCGGCGGACGGGUGAGUAACACGUGGAUAACCUACCUAUAAGACUGGGAUAACUUCGGGAAACCGGAGCUAAUACCGGAUAAUAUUUUGAACCGCAUGGUUCAAAAGUGAAAGACGGUCUUGCUGUCACUUAUAGAUGGAUCCGCGCUGCAUUAGCUAGUUGGUAAGGUAACGGCUUACCAAGGCAACGAUGCAUAGCCGACCUGAGAGGGUGAUCGGCCACACUGGAACUGAGACACGGUCCAGACUCCUACGGGAGGCAGCAGUAGGGAAUCUUCCGCCCUGGGCGCCCGCCUGACGGCGCACCGCCGCGUGAGUGAUGAAGGUCUUCGGAUCGUAAAACUCUGUUAUUAGGGAAGAACAUAUGUGUAAGUAACUGUGCACAUCUUGACGGUACCUCCUCAGAAAGCCACGGCUCCCUACGUG
rnacentral:rRNA from 1 species